GCACCAGGCUUUUUGGUCAUUUGCCGUCCAGUUCUCUUUGUGCUGCCUCGGUGACUGCUAGCCUGACAACAUGUCUCUGUAUUUGUCCUCAUCUAGGAUGUCCAGUGGGGGUAGCCUAGGCUUCUCUGGAGGGAUGGGAGGUGCUGGCUUGGCCCUUGGGUCCAGGUUGGGUCUGGGUUUUGGGGCAGGUGCUGGUAUGGGUGCAGGGCUAGGUCUGGGAAGUGGGUUUGGUCUCGGCCUCGGCCUGGGUGGUGGAGCUGGGGCUGGUGCCGGGGCAGGGGCGGGUGGAUCUGCCCUGGUUCCCAGCCCAGCUUUUACCAUGGGCCGCACCCUCGCAGCAGGUGGCCUGAGCGCUGGGUCCGCCAUGGUGGCUGGACCUGCCUUGGGGCCCAUGCUGGCCCCUGUGCUCUCCCGGGAGGCAGAGAAGCACACGCUCUCCGGGCUGAAUGACCGCUUCUCCUCGUACAUGGCUAAGGUGCGGGUGCUGCAGCAGGAGAACGUCGCCCUGGAGGCCAAGCUCUCGCAGCUGACCGGAGGGGCAGACAUGUCCCCCGAGAGCUCGAGCACCUCCACCGCGGAGUACGAGGCCCAGCUCAAUGAGUACCGCAACACCUUGGAGAACCUCACUCUGGACACCAUCAAGUUGGAGAUCGAGCUGGACAACAUCCGUGGCACAGCUCAUGAACUGAAGGCCAAGCUGGAUUUUGAGCAGGGUGUGAAGUUUCAGCUGGAGUCUGACAUCAGUUCCAUGAAGAGGGACGUCGAGACAGCAUCCGACCUCCGCAUUGACCUGGACGCCAAGCUUGCCAGUCUGAGAAACGAGCUGGACUUUGUCACUAAGACUCAGGAAGAGGAGCUGUCGACGCUGCAGGCUAAGCUGGGCACCACCUCUAUGGAGAAGUCGGUGUCCAUGAUUGCGGUGGACACCGGCAGAUCCUUCGAUAUCUCGGUGGCUCUCAAUAAGAUGAGGACGGAGUAUGAGAAGUCGGUACAGCAGCACCGAGAAGAGGCUGACGCUUACUACAAGCUAAAGAUGGAGGAGAUGCAAACGGCGACAGCGAAGAACACAGAGGCCAUUUCCUCGGCCAAGGUGGAGAUCAGCGCCGCCAGGAAGGAGCUACAGAGCCUCGCUCUGGAGCUGCAAAGUCUGGCAUCUGCUAACCUGACCCUUGAGCAGAGUCUCGCAGAAGCUCAGGCCCAGUCCAGUGUAGGAGUGGCUGACUACCAGGCCCAGAUCGCCAGCCUGACGUCGGCCAUCGAGGUAGCCAAGGCCGACCUGCACAAACAGAUCCUCGCCUAUCAGGAGCUCUUGGACGUCAAGCUGGCCCUGGAUGUGGAAAUCUCCACCUACAGAAAACUGCUGGAGGGAAAUGAUAUCAAGUUGCCAGAUUCAUCCUUAUCGGAUUCCUCAUACAGCUUCACAGGGUGUGACCUCCCCCACUCCAGCACCCCCCUGCCCUGCCUCUGGAGAGAGGCUAACUAAACACCCCCUGCAGUGGGAAGUGGAGGAAUACAGGUUAAGGAAAUCAUCACAGAGCACACUGAAACUUCCCUCCUGUCAGACGCAGAUUAAGCGUGAUUCAUCACAUUGAGUGCCGGGGGAAAGGUCCCGACACGGGCAGCCGCGUGACCCUGCCCCGCUGCCCACUACUGAAUAAACAGCUUAAACAUGC